UUAAAAGAAUAUUGGCAGAGAAAGAGCCUUGGUGUUCCAGCAGGAGCUAAGAGGAACAGGAAAACAAAUGGCAGUAGCCCUGAAACAGCCACUUCUGGUGGUUGCCAGUCACCUGAGGAUUCAGCAACAGGUGUCCAUGGGGAGGGAUCUACAUCAUCUGCUCCCCUGAAGGAUCUGGAGAGCCCGUGCCAAGAACUAGCAGUCGUCCUGGACUCAAGGUCCGUAAAAAUCAGUAAACUGAAUAACACCAUCAAAUCUUUGAAACAACAGAAGAAACAAGUGGAACAUCAGCUGGAAGAAGUAACGUGAUUUCUUUGUUGCUCGACAUGACUGCUGGUUUGGGGGCACUCAGAUGUAGAAGCCCCAGUCUCG
rnacentral:sRNA from 1 species